rnacentral:rRNA from 1 species
GAACUUAAGCAUAUCAAUAAGCGGAGGAAAAGAAACCAACAGGGAUUGCUUAGUAACGGCGAGUGAAGCGGCAACAGCUCAAAUUUGAAAUCUGGCCUUAGGGUCCGAGUUGUAAUUUGUAGAGGAUGUUUUGGGUACCGUUGCAGUUUAAAUUUCUUGGAACAGAAUGUCAGAGAGGGUGAGAGUCCCGUCUGGAACUGCGGUAGGGCCUAUGUAAAACUCCUUCGACGAGUCGAGUUGUUUGGGAAUGCAGCUCUAAAUGGGUGGUAAAUUUCAUCUAAAGCUAAAUAUUGGCCAGAGGCCGAUAGCGCACAAGUAGAGUGAUCGAAAGAUGAAAAGCACUUUGAAAAGAGAGUUAAACAGUAUGUGAAAUUGUUGAAAGGGAAGCGCUUGCAACCAGACUUGAGUAUUGCGGUUCCCCCUUGCUUUUGCUUGGGUUACUCCGUUUUAUCCAGGCCAACAUCGGUUCUAGGGGUUGGUUAAAGACCUUAGGAAUGUAUCUACCUCCGGGUAGACUUAUAGCCUAGGGUGUCAUGCAACCUCCCGGGACCGAGGGACGCGCUUCGGCGAGGAUGUUGGCGUAAUGGUUGUAAGCGACCCGUCUUGAAACACGGACCAAGGAGUCUAACAUCUAUGCGAGUGUUUGGGUGUCAAACCCGUACGCGGAAUGAAAGUAAACGGAGGUAAGAAGCCUUAAGGCUGCAUUAUCGACCGAUCCUGAUAUUUAUGGAUGGAUUUGAGUAAGAGCAUAGCUGUUGGGACCCGAAA